UACGUAGGGCGCAAGCGUUGUCCGGAAUUAUUGGGCGUAAAGCGCUCGUAGGCGGUCUGUCGCGUCGGCUGUGAAAACUCGGGGCUCAACCCCGAGCCUGCAGUCGAUACGGGCAAACUAGAGUGUGGUAGGGGAGACUGGAAUUCCUGGUGUAGCGGUGAAAUGCGCAGAUAUCAGGAGGAACACCGGCGGCGAAGGCGGGUCUCUGGGCCAGAACUGACGCUGAGGAGCGAAAGCGUGGGGAGCGAACAGG
rnacentral:rRNA from 1 species